UACGUAGGGUGCGAGCGUUAAUCGGAAUUACUGGGCGUAAAGCGUGCGCAGGCGGUUUUGUAAGUCUGUCGUGAAAUCCCCGGGCUCAACCUGGGAAUUGCGAUGGAGACUGCAAGGCUAGAAUCUGGCAGAGGGGGGGUAGAAUUCCACGUGUAGCAGUGAAAUGCGUAGAGAUGUGGAGGAACACCGAUGGCGAAGGCAGCCCCCUGGGUCAAGAUUGACGCUCAUGCACGAAAGGCGUGGGGAGCAAACGAGGAUUA
rnacentral:rRNA from 1 species